UACGGGGGGGGCAAGCGUUGUUCGGAAUCACUGGGCUUAAAGCGUGUGUAGGCGGGCCCCUAAGUACCUUGUGAAAUCCCACGGCUCACCCGUGGAACCGCUGGGUAUACUGGGGGCCUUGGGCCAUUCAGGGGCGACUGGAACAAGCGGUGGAGCGGUGAAAUGCGUAGAUAUCGCUUGGAACGCCGACGGUGAAAACAGGUCGCUGGGAAUGUGCCGACGCUGAGACACGAAAGCCAGGGGAGCAAACGGG
rnacentral:rRNA from 1 species